CAAGGAAUCUUCCGCAAUGGGCGCAAGCCUGACGGAGCAACGCCGCGUGGAGGACGACGGCCUUCGGGUUGUAAACUCCUUUUCUCAGGGACGAAACGGACGGUACCUGGGGAAUCAGCCCCGGCUAACUCUGUGCCAGCAGCCGCGGUAAGACAGAGGGGGCAAGCGUUGUCCGGAUUUACUGGGCGUACAGCGCGCGCAGGCGGUGCCGUAUGUGACCGGUGACAGUCUCGGGCUCAACUCGAGGGGUCUGGUUACACAGCGGCGCUGGAGGCAGGGAGAGGGAUGUGGAAUACCCGGUGGAGCGGUGAAAUGCGUAGAGAUCGGGUGGAACACCAGUGGCGAAGGCGGCAUCCUGGCCCUGACCUGACGCUGAGGCGCGAGAGCGUGGGGAGCAAACGGGAUUAGAUACCCCGGUAGUCCACGCCGUAAACGAUGUGGAGCCGGUGUCGGUGCGUGAUUGCGCGCAGCGGUGCCUAAGCUUACGCGAUGACUCCACCGCCUGGGAAC
rnacentral:rRNA from 1 species